rnacentral:rRNA from 1 species
UACGUAGGUGGCGAGCGUUGUCCGGAUUUACUGGGCGUAAAGGGAGCGUAGGCGGAUUUUUAAGUGAGAUGUGAAAUACUCGGGCUCAACUUGAGUGCUGCAUUUCAAACUGGAAGUCUAGAGUGCAGGAGAGGAGAAUGGAAUUCCAUGUGUAGCGGUGAAAUGCGUAGAUAUAUGGAGGAACACCGGUGGCGAAAGCGGCUCUCUGGCCUGUAACUGACACUGAGGCUCGAAAGCGUGGGGAGCAAACAGG